GCCCAGAUCCCCAUAAGUCAGCGAUGAGGGGGGCCGAGCAGGGGCUGCCCGUUAGACGGCCGCAGAGUCCCAGCCCCCAGCCCUGCUCACCUUUCUUACCUCUCUGGCCCCGUCGGCAUUUGAGCCUGGGACCCCAGACGAAAGGAUACGCUUCCUUUUAGAACCCCUGCCAAUCUGAGGACGGGGCCACCCCACAGACGCCGUGGCUCAGCAAGCAGACCAAUGGCCGAGGAGUCUGGCAAGGGGCGCUUGGCAGAUGAGAGUGGAGGUUGUAAAUCACCCUCCAUGCAAUGGUUCAUCAUAAAGGAUAUGGAGCAAAAUUAGAGGAGGCACGAGAAGGAAAGCCGGUGAUGAACAAGGAAAGUGCCUGGUUGAAGCUAGCUUGCAAUCCCAAAGUCAGAAGGUUGCCUGGGAAGCCAUGAAACAAAGCCAAAUCAAGGCAAAGCAGACACAUGGAGAUUUUGAGACUGAGAAGAGGAAAACUGAGGACAUUCAUGUGAGAUGGUUUCAAGUUUCCCUUAGAAGGAGAAGUUAUCUUCAGAAGGUCAGGUUGGUGAGGUGGGAGUUCAAAAACAACAAAGUAUGUAGCUACCAUUGUGAGGAAGACCAUGGAAAAUGGACGAAUCAGAAUGAAAGGCUUUCUGAACAAGAGGGAGUUUCCCUGCACAAGCUCCCUCCUGCCUGCUGCCAUGUGAGACCUGCGUUUUGCCUUCCACCAUGACUGUGAGGCCUCUUCCCCGGCCAUGUGGAACUCCCAGAGACAGAAGCAGAUAAUGCAAGUGUCAUCUACAUCUGGCAAAAGCCAAAGGUUUGGAAGAUGGAAAAAGGAAUCCAGGCAAAAAGGAGCCCAAGAUUGAAGUGAAUGACCAGGUGCACCAGUUCAAAUGCAAUCAGGAGGGACAGGGGUAGAGGGAGAAGCCUAGAGCAGCGCUUCUCAAACUGACUAUUCAAGUCACCUGGAGAUCUUGGUGAAAUGCAGACUCUGGUGCAGUAGGUCCUGGCGGGAACUUGAAAUUCUGCAUUUUGACCAAGGUCCAAGGUGAAUGUCCAGUGCUGUUGUCCUUGGCCUGCAGCAGGAGGAGCAGGGAUCUAAGACUUGGAGAGCAAAUGUCAAGCUCAGAAGAAAGACUGGAAGUUUGGGGACAAAACCCAAAUAUGGCUAAAGAAAGCCUGUAGGAUGAAGUUGGAAGUUCCAGAGCCUUCUCUUCACAUAAUGGGACAUGCAAGGGGGAAACCAAAUCAAAAGUGUAGAAUGCGUCGCUGGAUGUCUUUGACAUGUCCAUUCUCCCAGAGGCUCCUGGCAUCUCUUGUAAACCACAAUCUGUUAGACUGUAGCUUCAGCAAAGAUUUCUGGAAGACAUCACUGAAAUUCUGAGUGUCCAAUGUGGGCAUGAAGCCAGUUUUCUAGCUUCCAGCCUGUCCAAAUCUGAGGCUAUUACAGUAUUCAAAUGGCAGCCUGUGAACUCACAUUUCAAGGAGACUGUUCCUCUUGCAUCCUGGACUUCCACCAUGGAAGGUUCACGUCCUUGAGUCUAAUGACUUGGUCCUCACCAGG
rnacentral:lncRNA from 1 species